UACAGAGGGGGCGAGCGUUGUUCGGAAUUACUGGGCGUAAAGGGCGCGUAGGCGGCCCGCUAAGUCGAACGUGAAAUCCCCGGGCUCAACCCGGGAACUGCGUCCGAUACUGGCAGGCUUGAAUCCGGGAGAGGGAUGUGGAAUUCCAGGUGUAGCGGUGAAAUGCGUAGAUAUCUGGAGGAACACCGGUGGCGAAGGCGGCGUCCUGGACCGAGAUCGACGCUGAGGCGCGAAAGCUAGGGGAGCAAACGGG
rnacentral:rRNA from 1 species